ensembl:snRNA U1 U1 spliceosomal RNA
UAAUCUACCUGGCAGGGGAGAUACCAUGAUCACUAAGGUGGUUUUCACACCGCGAGGCUUAUUCAUUGCACUCUGGAUGUGCUGACCUCUGCAGUUUUCCCAAAUGUGGGAAACUUGACCACGUAAUUUGUCGUUGUGGGGGUCUGUGUUCACGCUUUCCCCUG